GACGAACCACACAAACGUUAUUCGGAAUUACUGGGCUUAAAGGGUGCGUAGGCGGCGCGGAAAGUUGGGUGUGAAAUCCCUCGGCUCAACCGAGGAACUGCGCUCAAUACUACCGUGCUCGAGGGAGACAGAGGUGAGCGGAACUUAGGGUGGAGCGGUGAAAUGCGUUGAUAUCAUUUGGAACGCCCACGGUGAAAACAGCUGGCUGGGGAAGUGCUGACGCUGAGACACGAAAGCCAGGGGAGCGAACGGG
rnacentral:rRNA from 1 species